CCCCACGUACCCUAGCGCUCCAGAUGCGCCACCCACCUCACGCACUCCCUCUCCCCCAUCGCCGCCGCCACCCCGCCGAUCCCAUCCCUCCCGAUUCAGAUCCAUUCUCCCCGAUUCAGAUCCGACCCCGCCGCCCGCGCCCGCGCGCCACCAUUCGCUCCUCCUCGCCUCCUGGAGGACGUCUGCCGCUCUUCCUCCGCCCGUCCCGGAGGCCUCGGUCGGCGCCCUCCGCCGCAGGGCCGCCGCGCUCGUCCCGCCCUCGGCGCCACACCUCCUUUUCCUCAUGGCCUCGGACCUCCCCGAUCCGUGUUCCUCGCACGCUCACCACUUCGCCUCUGUCUCCCACCAUGCCGCACGCCCCACGCCGAAAAAGGGCAGGCGAGCCACCUCCGCCUUCCCCUCGCCCCCGCGCUGGUCCCACCGCCGAGCCCAGUUCCCCUCACGUCUCCGUCCAGGCGCCGUCGCCAUCAAUCGAUCUCCCGAGCAAGCGACCUCCCUCCCCGAUCUACUCGUUGGCUAUGACUGACGAGCCGGAGGGGCGAGGGGAGGGGGAGCGUGGACGCCAACUGGCGCCCCACCCAAGACUCAGAUCCCGCCACCGCGGCCGCCGGAGGCGGGGUUGACCCGAACGCACCAGCGCCCCACCGCCGGAGGUGACUGGCGCUCCGGGCUCCAUCCCGACGCCCGCGCUAGGAUCGUCAGUAAGAUAUCCAAUCGCACUCCUCAUCCAGCUCCAUGUCUCCUGGUGCGGCGGCACAGUGGGAGGAUGUGAACGCGCCACCGCCCAGGGGUGGUGGUGGUGGUGACCUGCCUGCUCGUCCCUCGUCCUUAUCACCGGCCUCUCCGAGGUCGCUGCUAGGGCAAUCUCCAUGGGCCCUUGAGGAUGGAGUAGGAGGAUGAGCAGCAGCAAAUGAGCCUGAUGGUGAAGAAGCACCUGAUGACCAGAACUCGUUCAAGAGCUCUUUUGUCCUUCCAAAACAGGGUCUUGAUGUCCCCCUUACAGAAAAAUGUUCAUACAUGUUCCUGCAUGAUGCGUGUGUGCAUGUUGGAUGGUCAUAUUCUAGUGUACUAGCUAGCUAGUAAGCUUGUUUUGCUACCGGAUGAUUGAAUGUCAUCUCAGUUUUUACCUCAUGUAGCUCACCACCUAAUUUGUAGGUAAAGAUACCGUUGGCAUAUAUUAUCAGCAGCAUUUUUUCAUAAACAAAAUAAAAAAUGUUGAUUUAGGUCCAGAAUGUGUAUUAUCUCCAUGUUGUUGGCUAGAUGGUAAUGGCUCAUCAGAAUAGACACACACACAUGAACGCUAUUAUUUCUCUUCAGAGAAACCAAGCCAGUAUUCUGAUCCUCCUAGCCACUGCACAUGCCUGUAUUCAUAUGGCCAUUGUGGAUAAUUCUAUGCUUUAAUAAUUCUCCUUAUAUAUCACUGUUUAUUAGUAGGAGAUUUCUUCUGCUUGGCCAUAACAACAAUUUCAUGUUGUUUCUUUUGUAAUUCGAUGGUUGAUAGUCUCAUAUAUUACACUAGCUAAUAUAUUACAAUGGAAUGAAUCAACUACUCUCAUGGUCAGUCCCAUCCCAUCUAGCAUUAUUUACCGUCUAUUUGUCUGUAUGUAUUUACUUUGGAAAAAAUUCAGUCUGCACAUCUGCAUCUGCAUUGCACAAGUACAGAUACAUCCACCCCUGCUAUUUUCUUGUUAUACAUUACAUAGAUGCAUACAUACGCCAGGCUAUUUCGUCUGUCUGUCUGACCUCUCAAGGAUGCAUAUCUCGUUCGUAUGUACUGCAUUUUGUAACAAUUUCGUUUUCCUCAAUACUUACAGGAUGCUGCGCUCGCUACUUACAUGUUUUCUGAUGCCGCAACAAAGGACUAUAUGUGGUUUCUUCAGUGGGACUGUUGCUGUCGCUCCUCAUGUUCAAUAACAUUUCAGCAUUGGACCUGCUAGUCACCCAAGCCAAGCCUCGCAUCGCUUCAAUAAAGCGAUACUUCUUCCAAUCAACCCCUACUUCGGCUCUGCUCUUUUUUCCAUCUUCUCUUAUUUAAGCUAAGAAAGAUUCUGAGUUUGCAUCCAUCUCAUUACACUAGCUAGCACAAUAUAUUAGUUAAUGCAACUCUACUACAUAUCAAUUUCCCCUACUAGAUUGGUUCUAUAUUUUUAAAGUUGUUUCGUGGUGCAUGAGCCCAACCCGAAGAAAUAUAGGCUUAUGAUGACUAUUUUCCUUCCUAAGUAAUCAUAGUUGUUGGCUUCGGUAGCUUGCUGAAUAUGCUUUAGUUAUAUAUAGAAAUGACGUGCCUUCUAUGCUUAAAUGAUUGUUUGGCUCUAUAUAAUUGUUGACAUGAAUAUCUUGACUUCCCAAACAAGUAUAGGACUGUACCUAUGCAUACAUAUUAUCCUAACAAAACUAAAAAUAAAAAUUGAAGCAUGAAAUAAGCAAUAAGUGGCUGAUUUUUAUUUGCAUGUUAAGCGGAAAGUUGUAGACAAGGCUUAUAUAUUACGAAAUAUUGUCACACCUCUGAGCUUCUACUGUUGUUAGGGACAUCGUAGUGUGAUCUUCAUGAUUUUUCGCUUGAAGAUGUACCGAUUCAUUAGUCAAGCAGAGACCGAAGUCAUCUUUUGCUACUGCUAGCUCUAUGGAUGUUUAUUUACAUGCAACUUCUGCCAGCUCUAACUUGGUUAUAUAGCAGUUCAAUUCAGUCAAUCUGUUGGAACUAGUUUGUCUAUUACUUGUAUCCAGAUUUUAUAUCCUGCCCUAUGCCAUUGUCGACUUGCUUAGGUACAUAAUUGUUAUCUCUUGCAAUCUGGUAUUGAUGAUUGUCAAUGUAUUCAUUUAUACCUUUCUAGUGUACCUUGUAUGUGACCCAGCUGAUCUGUAUAUCAAUGCUCUGUUUCCAAUAGAUGUAUGCUGGUGCCUGAUGGCUGAUUCCUUAAAACUUCACUGUUGCAGUAGCAUUUUUCCUUAGUGCAUAGAUGUAUGAGCGAUCACUUAUGCUUGAAACCUUGCUCUCUUUCCCAGGAACCAUCGUGGUCUGCGUCACUACUGGGGCAGGAGAGGAAAGACUGUUGGUGUCUCCAGGAAGCGAUAAACUGCUUAAAAAGUUCCCGCAUAGCUUCACUACUACUGUGUUGGUCCAUUUCCAGAAUCAUAAGGAGUGUUCUUUUUUAGACGAUUACCUUGGAUGAUGCUUUUGCUUAAAGAGAGGCUCAAGAAUAUCAGGGAGCUCCGCAUCCGAGUUUCAGCCAUCCUCUACAGCAAGGAGCUCUAGGCCAAAGGAGCAAGCAGCGCUGCUAGUUUCUUGAGGCCAGAUCGAGUAAGAUGGUGCACCAUGGCGUGUGGUGGCGUAUUUUGCUUCCGAGAACAGUACUGUUUAUUUGAAGUGAGAUGUACUCGUCUAGUGCCUCGCAAAAAAAUGAAGGAUGAAGUGUCAUGUACUGUCUAUGUUGUAGUGAGCUAUAGUAGGAGUGAAAUGAAAAUGUAUCUGCUGUUGUAUGUGCUAUUUUGCUAUAAUGUAUUGUGUAUAUUUUACUUGAACAUUAAAUUCUCCAGAAAAAAUGUUCUUACUGGACCUGAUAGUGGCCACGGCCCAAAUAUACUUGUACUAUUAAGAUGCCAUGGCCCAAAAUAACCUGGGCUGAAAAGUUAUUCAGAAUUA